ACUGCGUACCUUUUGUAUAAUGGGUCAGCGACUUAUAUUCUGUAGCAAGGUUAACCGUAUAGGGGAGCCGCAGGGAAACCGAGUCUUAACUGGGCGUUAAGUUGCAGGGUAUAGACCCGAAACCCGGUGAUCUAGCCAUGGGCAGGUUGAAGGUUGGGUAACACUAACUGGAGGACCGAACCGACUAAUGUUGAAAAAUUAGCGGAUGACUUGUGGCUGGGGGUGAAAGGCCAAUCAAACCGGGAGAUAGCUGGUUCUCCCCGAAAGCUAUUUAGGUAGCGCCUCGUGAACUCAUCUUCGGGGGUAGAGCACUGUUUCGGCUAGGGGGUCAUCCCGACUUACCAACCCGAUGCAAACUACGAAUACCGAAGAAUGUUAUCACGGGAGACACACGGCGGGUGCUAACGUCCGUCGUGAAGAGGGAAACAACCCAGACCGCCAGCUAAGGUCCCAAAGUCAUGGUUAAGUGGGAAACGAUGUGGGAAGGCACAGACAGCCAGGAUGUUGGCUUAGAAGCAGCCAUCAUUUAAAGAAAGCGUAAUAGCUCACUGGUCGAGUCGGCCUGCGCGGAAGAUGUAACGGGGCUAAACCAUGCACCGAAGCUGCGGCAGCGACACUAUGUGUUGUUGGGUAGGGGAGCGUUCUGUAAGCCUGCGAAGGUGUGCUGUGAGGCAUGCUGGAGGUAUCAGAAGUGCGAAUGCUGACAUAAGUAACGAUAAAGCGGGUGAAAAGCCCGCUCGCCGGAAGACCAAGGGUUCCUGUCCAACGUUAAUCGGGGCAGGGUGAGUCGACCCCUAAGGCGAGGCCGAAAGGCGUAGUCGAUGGGAAACAGGUUAAUAUUCCUGUACUUGGUGUUACUGCGAAGGGGGGACGGAGAAGGCUAUGUUAGCCGGGCGACGGUUGUCCCGGUUUAAGCAUGUAGGCUGGUUGUCCAGGCAAAUCCGGAUAAUCAAGGCUGAGGUGUGAUGACGAGGCACUACGGUGCUGAAGUAACAAAUGCCCUGCUUCCAGGAAAAGCCUCUAAGCAUCAGGUAACAUCAAAUCGUACCCCAAACCGACACAGGUGGUCAGGUAGAGAAUACCAAGGCGCUUGAGAGAACUCGGGUGAAGGAACUAGGCAAAAUGGUGCCGUAACUUCGGGAGAAGGCACGCUGGUGUGUAGGUGAAGCCCCUGCGGGUGGAGCUGAGACCAGUCGAAGAUACCAGCUGGCUGCAACUGUUUAUUAAAAACACAGCACUGUGCAAACACGAAAGUGGACGUAUACGGUGUGACGCCUGCCCGGUGCCGGAAGGUUAAUUGAUGGGGUUAUCCGUAAGGAGAAGCUCUUGAUCGAAGCCCCGGUAAACGGCGGCCGUAACUAUAACGGUCCUAAGGUAGCGAAAUUCCUUGUCGGGUAAGUUCCGACCUGCACGAAUGGCGUAAUGAUGGCCAGGCUGUCUCCACCCGAGACUCAGUGAAAUUGAACUCGCUGUGAAGAUGCAGUGUACCCGCGGCAAGACGGAAAGACCCCGUGAACCUUUACUAUAGCUUGACACUGAACAUUGAGCCUUGAUGUGUAGGAUAGGUGGGAGGCUUUGAAGCGUGGACGCCAGUCUGCGUGGAGCCAACCUUGAAAUACCACCCUUUAAUGUUUGAUGUUCUAACGUUGGCCCCUGACCGGGGUUGCGGACAGUGUCUGGUGGGUAGUUUGACUGGGGCGGUCUCCUCCCAAAGCGUAACGGAGGAGCACGAAGGUUAGCUAAUCCUGGUCGGACAUCAGGAGGUUAGUGCAAUGGCAUAAGCUAGCUUGACUGCGAGCGUGACGGCGCGAGCAGGUGCGAAAGCAGGUCAUAGUGAUCCGGUGGUUCUGAAUGGAAGGGCCAUCGCUCAACGGAUAAAAGGUACUCCGGGGAUAACAGGCUGAUACCGCCCAAGAGUUCAUAUCGACGGCGGUGUUUGGCACCUCGAUGUCGGCUCAUCACAUCCUGGGGCUGAAGUAGGUCCCAAGGGUAUGGCUGUUCGCCAUUUAAAGUGGUACGCGAGCUGGGUUUAGAACGUCGUGAGACAGUUCGGUCCCUAUCUGCCGUGGGCGCUGGAGAAUUGAGGGGGGCUGCUCCUAGUACGAGAGGACCGGAGUGGACGCAUCACUGGUGUUCGGGUUGUCAUGCCAAUGGCACUGCCCGGUAGCUAAAUGCGGAAGAGAUAAGUGCUGAAAGCAUCUAAGCACGAAACUUGCCCCGAGAUGAGUUCUCCCUGAGACUUUAAGUCUCCUGAAGGAACGUU
rnacentral:rRNA from 1 species